CUAUUCUGUUGGCAGCAUCCAUUUGCCUCAGGUAGGAUUAUCAUUCUUAUGGCAGGAAGGCAAAGAGAAAAUAUUACAUAUUUUUUGCAGUCUAGUCUUUGAGAAUUUUGAAGAUCACAGGCUUGCAAAACAGGUUUUAAAAGAGAAAGACGCACUAAAUUCCAAAUACUCUCUCUUUGUGUUUCAAGAGGCAAAUCUGGCUGGCUUAUAGAUUAUUCCAAGCAUAUUGUUCUUUAACAAUGGAUGGUCAUUUGAAAAAUUUAAACGUAGAACAAUUUUGCUUUUUUUUUUUUUUAAUGUUUGUUUUUGUGAGAGAACAUGAGUGGAAUAGGGGCAGAGAGAGAGAGAGAGAGAGAGAGAAUCCCAAGCAGGUUCCACACUGUCAGCGCAGAGCCCAAUGCAAGGCUCAAUCUCCCCCACUGCGAGAUCAUGACCUGAGCUGAAAUAAAGAGUAAGACAUUCAACUGAGUCACCCAAGCACCCCGAACAAUUUUCCUUUAAACAGAGUGUAAGGGAAUCCUUGGAAAGGAAAAUAGAAAAAUCUCUUGUCUUUCAGGUCUGGGGAGCAACAGCAAGACAAAUGUAUGCUAAGAUUUCCCCUCUAAUGAGAGAAUUACUGGGGAGGAUGACAUCUCCUGGGCUGCAAGGAGAGAUUUUGGAGAUUUCUUGUGCUUUUUCAGGCUCAAUAAAUCAUUCCUCAGAUUAGAUUCUUGUUUAUAAUGUUAAGUUAAAUGCAUUGUGCAAUGAGUCUUAGAAUUCGGUAUUCGGUUAUUUCACACGAGUCUCUGCUCUAUUCCCUGCUCCAGCCCAUCUUCACCUCCAGGCAAAUGGAAAAGGUAUAGCACAAGGGAUCCUUUUGUUGAAACCCAUUUAUUGUUUGUUACCUUUUUUUAGACAUUGAAUGUCCUAAUUAUGUUAUUUCAAGAAAGUAAAAAAUGUAUACCUUUUAGAAAAGUGACUGAUUCACACAUAGGGCUUGUUUUGAAUCUGCAGGAAGACUAAUCAGCCCAGGAUAUGGGGUGUCGUUUGUUUCUUUAUCAGUUUGGCUCCCUCUAGCUGUUAGUUUGCAAAUUUUAGUAGGUUCUAAAAUUACACAUUCUUUGCCCCUUUCUAUAGCACAAUUUUUUCAUAGGAAGGUUUUGGGGAAAAUGAUUAACUGAUAGAAUAUAUUUUUAGCAAAGAUCAUAUUUAGCCUUUUUAUGACAAAUUACUAAGGUUCAUAUAUAGGGUUGACAGAUUUAGCAAAUAAAAAUACAGUGUACCCAAUAAAAUUUAUAUUUCAGAUAAAAAAAAACCAAGUAAUUUUUUAGUGUAAGUAUGCUCCAAAUACAUUAAUUGGGCAACUGUAUAUAUUUGCAUAGUGUUUUACAUCUCAUUUAACAAAUGAGGAUUCUGAGGAUCAGAAUUUCCAAUUCCAAACUAUAUUUUUCUCAUUUUCCCAUGGGUUGUUCUUGCUUUUUCAUUCUUAGUUUCCCUGUAAGUUCCCAAAAAAAAUCAGGUCAGAGGUCUGAUCACAGGACACUUGAUUUCAAGUUCCAAGGAUCCUAAGAUAUCUUUGUUUUAACUUCACUAAAGGAAAUGAUUCAAUAAGUGCGGUCUAUGUGCAAGUCCCCAGGAGAUCUUUACCUCUCACUAAAUGAGGAUUCAGUGAACGUAGGAACUAUUUCUGUUUGCCGGGUUCCAUUUGGACCCUAGUGUUGACCUGCAUAUCUAUAGGCAAGGAAUUAAGGCUUAGAGUCACUUGUCCAAGGUGACACUAGUACUAAGUAGGGAGCUGAGAUUUAAUUCACAUAGUCGGCCAGAACAAGAUAGUAGCUGUUCCAGGCUUUGUGGGCCAUGCAGUCUCUGUCAGGACCACUCAAUGCUCCCAUUGUAGGGCAAAAGUAGCCAUGGGCAACACACCAAUGAACAGGCAUGGGUCGCCAAGCUCCAAUAAACUUCAAAAUUUGAAUUUCAAAUAAUUUUCACAUAGUAUGAUUUAUUGUUCAUUUGAAUUUUCCCAAUCAUUUAAAAAUGUAAAUACCAUCCUUAGCUCUAGAGUAGGGAUUGGCAAAGUGAGCCUGUAGGUCAAAUCCUGCCCACUGCCUGUUUUUGUAAAUCAAGUUAUUCAUCAUUUCUCUCCUUGGUGUUCCUCUUGAAGGACAGUCCCAUUAAUUCUUCAUGGUAGAUUAAUUCAUACAGCAGAUGUUGUGAUUAAUCAAGUCCAAUGUUUCAUCUUUCCCUGGUGCAAUAUAAGGCUUUUACUAAAGUAAUUGGCUUAUAUUCUUCAGGAGCUCUUUUAAAAAGUAAAUUGGUAACAUUACAUUGUAUCUAUGCAUUGGCAUAAAACUAGUGGUUAUUUUAAUGAAAUUGUUCUUUAAUCAGAUAGUCCAUUAAGCAUUUUCCUCCUAGUUGGGCACUAAUCUAUGCACAAUAACUAGAGAAAGAAAUACACUUACCUUUGGUGACAAUUCAUCAGGAGAAUAUACUUGAAUUUUUCUUUAGAAUUACAUCUGUGCUAAUCCCUUGUGGAGGGACAAAUAACUGUGAUAGCCAUUGAAAUCCUGGUGGCACCUCACUGAGUAUUCUCACUUGUGCUGCAUCCAGGGGAAGGUGAAGGGAAAAUGGAGACAUCUACUUGGGAGUUUUGUUUUUUUCUAAUACCUAUUAUUGACAUGUUAUAUUUUUUCCUUUCAAGCAGUGACAUUUUUUUCCUCCUAAAAAAGAUUAAAUCUUUUUUUUCAAAUAUUUAUUUUUGAGAGAGAGAGAGACAGACAGACAGACAGACAGAGUGUGAGCAGGGAGGGGCAGAAAGAGGCACAGAGACACAGAAUCUGAAGCAGACUCCAGGCUCUGAGCUGUCAGCACAGAGACCAAUGUGGGGCUAGAACUCACGAACUGGGGAUCGUGACCUAAGCCAAAGUAGGAUGCUUAACUAACUGAGCGACCCAGGUGCCCCAAAAUAGAUUAAGUCUUAAGCCCAAAACAAAAUUUAUAGCAUCUGAGACAAAAGGUGAAUUUGAAAUGUCAAGAUUUAGAUUUUUAAUUAUUUUUACUGUGUCUUCUUAACUUUCAAAAGAAAUGUAUGAAUCAUACUGGAUUAUGGGAAAUGGUUAAGGUAUUAGGUAUUGUAGGGUGUCAGAAUAUGCACCCCAAUAUAUACCACGUUUGCAUAAGGAUUAUUUUGAGCUGAAGGCAACUAAGAAGCAGAUACAAGAAAAGGUCUCUGCCCUCCCCCUAUUUGCCUGAAAGCAAGACAUACGUUUACAAAGGUGUCCCCCUUCCUUCUCUAUUAGUAAGGACCAAAAUUAAUCUCCAGAGACAACUUUAGACCUUAAGCACCCUGGAGACAGCACCAGAGGAAUCUACAUAACAACUUCUACUAAACUUUUAUUUACUAUUAGUUUGUCAUAAUGUGCCUUCCCACAGUUUGGCUUGCCAGAGACUCAAGGUUCUUUUCCCUUGUCUCAUCGCUUCUGUAACACAUCAGUGUUCCCUUGCUGAGAUUCCACAUAAGCCCGAGUUCUAAGCACCACUUUGAGUUACUCAUCUCUGAAUACUCCAGGUGUAAGGAUGGUACACAUGCUAAUGAACUUUUGCUUGCUUUUCUCUCUUUGAUUUGUCUUUUAUCAGCCUAGUUUAUAGGGCCCCAGCCAGAAAACCUAGGAGAAUGUAGGAAAAAUAAUUUCCGUUCCCCUACAGUAUCUUGAAAUUAUGUUCUCUGCUUCACAAAGGGAUUGUGCUCCUGGUUCAGCAUAAAUCCAUUCCCCCAAACACAUCCUCUGAAGCCUGAGACCCUGGUUAUGGCAGGUGAGGAAAAGAAGAGUCUUUACAGAUGCAGUUGUCACCUCUAGCUGGGUGUCAGAAUUUUCUGGAGGGCUUUUAUUUUUUAAAUGCUUAUUUAUUUUGAGAGUGAGUGAGUGUGAGCAGGGGAGGGGCAGAGAGAGGGAGAGAGAGAAUCCAAAGCAGGCUCCACACUGAGCCCUGGAGAGCUUUUAAAACUGAAGUUUUGGGGCACCUGGGUGGCUCAGUUGGGUAAGCUUCAGACUCCUUUUUUUUUAAUUAAAAAAAUUUGUUUAACAUUUAUUCAUUUUUUUCAGAGACAGAGACAGAGUAUGAGGGAGGAGGGGUGGAGAGAGAGGGAGACACAGAAUCCAAAGCAGGCUCCAGGCUCCAAGAUGUCAGCACAAAGCCUGAGCCUGACACGGGGCUCAGACCCAUGAACCGUGAGAUCAUGACCUGAACUGAAGUUGGACACUUAACCGACUGAACCAUCCAGGCACCCCUAAGCUUCAGACUCUUGAUUUUGGCUCAGGUCAUGAUCUCAUGGUUAAUGGGAUUGAGCCCCACGUAGGCUCCGUGCUAAUAGUGUGCACCUCCCUUGCUUGCACUCACUCACUCUCUCUCUCAAAAAAAAAAAAAAAAAAUAUUAAAUCCACAGUUUCCCUAGAGUUUUGGAUUCAGUAGGUCUGGGCUGAGGCUCCAUAGUUAAGAACACUUCCUCUUGUAGGAUUGAGUAGGAAUCUGUAGGAAUUUCCUGUGGCUGCUGGAAUAAAUUACCACAAACUGGGUGGCUGAAAACAACACAAAUUUAUUAUCUCAAUGGUGGAGGGCGAUGCUCCAUCCCCAGCACUCUGCCACACACAAACAUCACUAAUUGACCCACUCUUCAGCUAGUCUUUGCUUUUGCAAGAGAGGAGGGCAAAGAGAGAGAGAGAGAAAGAGGACUAGGGUGUCAGAGAGGUCUUUUUUGGCUCAGCCACCUUUGCCCUCCUUGACGUCUGCAUGACUAAAGUAGGGAUUUUACCACAAGGAGAGUAUCCUAUAAAAAUCCCAUCCUCGGGCACCUGGGUGGCUCAGUUGGUUACACAUCCCACUCUUGAUUUAGGCUCAGGUCAUCAUCUCACAAUUCAGGGGGUCGAGCCCCCACAUCAGACUCCACACUGAUGAUGCCGAGCCUGCUUGAGAUUCUCUCUCUCUUCUCCUUUCUUGCUCAUGCUCUCUCUCUAAGUAAAUAAACUUAAAAAAAAAAAAGUCCAUCCUCUUUGCAGCCAGUGCAAUAAUACACAUUUCAAACUCAGUGAAUCCCCCAAAGCCAUGAAGUUGUUGCCAUGGUAGGCAACAACUGUGCCCUAGCAAUACCUGUUGGUCAUCACAACACUAACCAUGACUUAAGGCCCCACACUGGAGAGAAAGUAGGGCGUACAUAGUCUUGAUCAUGGCCUUGGGCUUGCUCCAAGGGCACUUUGGCUCAGCAGUGAGACAUGUCUAUCUCUGUCUCCCAGAACUUUGUGGUCAAGAAUUUAGCAUCCUGAGUUAUGCUUGCUUCCACUCCACUGUUCACAUCUGACCACUCUAUUGGUCCCAGAAGACUCUCGAUGUGGUUUCUUCCCUCUCUUCCUCUUGAACUUAGCUUCCUUACCAGAUAGAAUCAGGGCCUCUGUUUCCUCGGUAGUGCUCUGCUUUCCUGGUAACUUGGUCCAAUAGAGCCCAGUUUCAUAGACUGCUUCCAGUAGCUCCACAUCUGCCCUGUGCUUGUGGCAAAAGUCUUUCUGGUUUAGUACAUAUGCAGAGGUCUUUUCUCCUGUCAGUGUGUGUUUAGAAAUCUGACAUAUGAUUCCUGACAACACACUUUACUGCCGAGUCUCCCUCUGAAUGUUUCCAAGCAUUCUGCCACAGGAACCAGUGGGUUGACAGCACUAAAUCCACCCAAUCCACUACUGAAGGUGUGAGUCCAUAAAUUCUUUCUUAAACCUCUCUUGCUCUCUGCCUCUGAGGCUCCCAUUGCUGCAACAUUUUGUGGCAAGUUCCAAAGAUGGACAAAAAAAGUCCCUAUCUAGUUCCUGGCCUGCAUUCCACAGUAACAUACCUGGUUUCUGGUAUCUUCUCACCUCAGAUGAGUUUCCCCACUUGCUAAUAGCCAGGAUCAUACCCAACCUGAUACUGCAGGCUCCAGGGGUUCCCAUUUUAUAGAUAAAAUAGAAUAUGGUCUUAAUCCAAACAUGAUUGCCACAGAUCCUUCACUUUCCCAUGAAAGUUGCCAAUUUCUCUUUUUAAAUUAUAUGUCCACUCUGGACCUUGAGUGUAAAAUGGAGAGAGAGUUCAGAAAAGAUAAUAUCUCCCCCCAAAUUAAUGAUUACAAAAAUGGGGAGAUUAAAAGCAAAAUGAUGCUGUAGCAAUAAAAAAGGUGUGUGUGUGUGGGGGGGGGGGUGUCACACUUAUAUCAUAAUCUUUAAAAACUCAUCAACAAGAGAGAAAAACAGCAGAUUCCCACUAUCUUCUUGACUGAGCAGGGUUCUAGAUGCUUCUAAUUCAUCCCAGUUCCCACCCCCAGGAGCAGUAUAAGAGGAAGGUAGGUGAGUGGGGGGGAAAUCCCAUAAAAAUCACCUUAAUACUCCCAACAAAAGAGAGACAAGUCAAAAAGAUACAUAGGAGCCCAGGGCUCAGUUUUCCUCAAGAACAGAAGAUGCUGCUUUCCACUCACCAUCUUGGUUGCUCUUUGCUAGAGAAGAAGGCAGAGCAGUGGAAAUCAACCAGUGGUGAUUAUAGCAAUAAAUGGAGAUUGGGGAAAAUAGAAGACAAAAUGAAAAUAAGAUAAGAUUUUAUGAGGAAAGAGGGGUCAAAGGAAAAAUCAGAGUGGUCAGUUUCAUCUGUUUGUUUUCCUUUAUUGAUCUGUUGUCCUCAGCAUCAAAUAUGAUGUUAACUGGUGCUUUGACACACAUGUAUUUAAAAUCAUACAAACCUUUCUACUAUAGAUUUUUUAAAUCAGAAACGGGUGCUGAAAGUAGUAAAAAUUUUUGGCAUCUAUAGAGAUAUGUUUUCCUUUUUAAUAAAUAUGUGAACUAUAUUCAUAGAUUUAUUAAUACUGAAUCAUUUUUACAUUCCUGAGAUGAACUCCACUUAGCUGGUCUCUAUUAUUCUUUAAAAGUACUGUUAAACUAUAUUUGCAAAUAGUUUAUUCAAGAUUUUGGCUUCCAUAUUAAAAACCUAAAUUGGUCUGUAAUUCUUUCCCAAUCUCUGGCACCAAGGCAGGUUGGUUUGACAGCCACCAUGAUGAGAAACUUCUGACUAGAUUCUAGUUUAUUUCCAGCUGUACCCACUGUCAGAGAUAACAGGAAGAACUCCAAAACGUGAGCAAGACAUCAGCUGCAUUCCCUUGUUUCUGCAACUAUCAUGCUGUCUCUAUUUGCCCUGAAUGUAUACAUGGAUACUACUACCACAGAGUUACACACACACACACACACACACACACGUUUUCCUUUUGGAGGAUCUAGGGCAGAGCAACUGGAAAUGGAUUCCUCUCACUGCCCAGGAAACCAUCCUGGUAACCUAGAGGGGUUUCCAGGUGCACAAAGACCUGUGCUGCCCAUUCUACACCCUUUUCAGGACAUCAGAAGUACAUAAACUAUCCACAUAUCGUUAAUCAGGCCACCUAUAGAUACGUCUUGAAACGCACACAAUGACCUGUCAGUAUUGUAACUGGAACGUGGUGAUUCUCUUUGUAUCCACCAAUAAGACACAAAGCCCAAAGACACACAGUGUCUUUGUUGGUGAACCUCUCUAGGCAUAGAGGAGUCAGUGCCAGUUCUGAGUCUCAAAUUUACAUGGUAUUCCUACUAUUAACGCACACAAAAUUUCUAGUGGAGAAUGGAAUGUACAGAAUAGGAUGAAGAGCUUGAUGUGUACAAUCAACAAUUCCAGUCUUGAUCAUGAAACCCAAGACAACCAUAUACUACAUUAUAUUCUUUCCUGUUAUUCUAAAGUAUCAAGAUCAAAAAUAAGAAGCGCCAGGAUUCACAAUUAUUCAAAUAGGGUCAAGACACCUCUAUAAAAAUAUAUAAUUUCAUCAGUGAAAAUUUUGCCUUAAGUCCCAAUAUCUAUUCCAUUUCUUCUCCCUUUUUUUUAACCUUACAAUGUGUUGAGGUACUUCAGAGUCCAUCGAGGGGUGAGGAGGUGAGGGAGCAAAGGUUGAUGGAUUUUUAGUUUAAUGUUCUAUUGAUAAACCUGAUAAACCUGAUCUGUUGAUCUCAGGACCAGAUCAACAGAAAUGACAAAUAAGCUUUGCAAAAACAGAGGCAGUGUUUAUGCCUCUGAUCCCUAACAGCUCGUACAGGGUGUAAGGUCCUUUGAUUUGGAUAAGCCUUCAAUUAUAAACAAAUCCUUGAGUGGCAAAUACGAUAUCAGUAAAACCAUAAUACUUUAAAAAUACAUGUUUAAUCCCUUAAUAGGCUUAAUAACAAUGGAUCUUUUAAUUUCUGAGUGUAGUCUUCACCUGAUUGUGUGAAAUGUACUCAACCAAAGAUGUAAUAAUUCUGAUUUUUUUUCUAAGUGUGGCUCAAAGCCUAGAUGCUAUCUGAAGAAAUACAAAAAAACAAAAACUUCAGGAAUAGAAUUUUCUAGUUAUUUUGAAAUUUCCAGGCACUUCAAAUUACAAAAACUACUUAACCAUUUCUGUAUCACAGCAAACAAAAUAAAACCAAAUUAGUUGACUAUUGGAAUGUGAAACACUCUUAUUGGAGUGUGAAAGUGUUCCAAAUCUGGAUAGUGGUGAUGAUUACACAAUUUAGCAAAUUUGCACAAAAUCAUUGAAUUGUAUACUUAAAACAGGUGAGUUUUAUGGCAUGUAAAUUAUACCUCAAGAAAGUUACAUGCAACAAAUUAGUUGCAAUGCUUCCUAUGACCACAGAAUGUCAGCAAAGUCAGCCAUGAAGGAUUUUUCCAUAAACCUAAUUUUCUAAGAAGAAGCCAGCAACUGCUAGAUAUAGCUGUCUUUCACUACAGAAAUGCCUUUGUUCUGGCUCUCAGGUGCUUGAAGUUAUCAAAGAGUUAGGCAUCAGGAAUAAGGAAACAUUUUCUUAAGUUUUUUUAAUGCUUAUUUAUUUUUGAGAGAGAGACAGAGUGCAAGCAAGGGAGGGCAGAGAGAGAGGGAGACACAGAAUCUGAAGCAGGUUCCAGGCUCUGAGCUGUCAGCACAGAGCCUGACGUAGGGGUCAAACUCACAAACUACAAGAUUGUGACCCGAGCAAAGUCAGACACUUAACCGAGUUACCCAUGCGCCCCAGGAAACAUUUUCAAAUGUUGUCUUAUACAGAUCUACAAUGAUUGAAGCUAUCAAAUCAUUUUAUUCAUGGUAUAUACAAUAAAUAAAACUAACCAAGCCACAAUAGUUUUGAAUAAGCUAUUCAUUCUUACUGAAAAUAACAAAAUCAUUAAAACUAGUUUUGGACUACUUAUACAUUGUAGUAAACAUAUAAACUUUGAUUUUUUUACAACUAUUUUAUCUUACAUUGUACAUUUUAAAGGGGAAUUUUUAAAAUGGUCUAAUUCCCUUUAAGUUAGACAAACAUUAACCAGUGAACUUUUCAAGUAACUAGGUAAUAUGAAGAAAUCUUUUAAAAGGAGUACGGUCUCUCUCAUUACUUCCAUAGAUCUUCUGAAAACAUAAAAUACAUUGGAUUAUAGGAAGGUAAACCUAAUACACAUUGAAAACCACAACUAUUUCUGGGGUAAGACUUCCUUUUGCUCAGUGCAGCCCUGUUAUGAUUAAGGGCGGAGGAAACUUGUGAGCUGGAAAUUUUUCUCUCACAUUUUAAGCAGAUUUACAAGUAAAGUUUACCUUAUUUCUAAGGUUUGUCCAAAUAAAGUUUUCAAGUGUCAAAAUAUUAACCUAGGUUUCCCAAAUCAAAAUAGAUGCCCUGCCUUCAUCAUGAGGUCAGUUUCAAUCUAAGGGCUUUUUGCUUUUGAAUUCUGGUUAAUACUAAAAGCAACGUGAAUGACAAUUUCUUGGAUUAAUGAUUUGAAUACCAGGAAUCCAGAAACUGCUCACAGAGAUAAGAAAAAAAGGAUCUGAUGAGAUGAUACUUACAUUAACUUUUCUCAGAAAUUUGAGGGUCAACUGUUUCCUUCACAGUAUCACCAAAUGUCAAGGUCAAAGUAGAGAAGACAGAGGUUAAGUGACAUGUUAACUGAUCUGCCCAAAGUGACAAAGGUGGUUAAUUGAACAGUUAGGACUAGAACCAGGUCUGGUGGGCUCUCAGCCAUAGACCCUAGAUUCAAACACAUGUCCAGGGCACCUGGCUGGCUCAGUCAGUUGGGUAUCCAACUUUGACUCCGGUCAUGAUCUCACAGUUUGUGGGUUAGAACCCUGCAUCAGGAUCUGUGCUGACAGCUUGGAGCCUGGAGCCUGUUUCGGAUUCUUUGUCUCCCUCUCUCUCUGCCCCUCCCCUGCUCAUGCCCUGUCUCUCUCUGUCUCUCUCUCUUUCCUCUCUCUCAAAAAUAAGCGUUUUUUUAAACAAAAUCACAUCCGUUAUUCAUUCUGCAAUUUAUAUGAUCUGUAACAUUGGGGAUUUUUGUUGUUGUUUCUGUAGUUCUUUCUAUCCAGGGCAGAUUUGAAAAACACAGAUAACCACUGUCUGAUUCAAGAACCGUGAAGUAAGUCAUGAGACGAUGCUUGGGAUGCUAAAUGCUCUGCAAGAAAUAUUCAAGUAAUUAGUUAAGGUGAAAAUGCCUUAUGACUGAAAAAUUACACAUGGAAUCCUAAUGUGCUCUGGUGAAUGAAGUCUAUGCCAGCAGUGGAAGGGGCCCCUAGCUGUUCUGCAAUCCACGGCAACCCAGUCUUUUUCACUCUCUACCAUUAUGCUGGGAGCUCCAGUUACUAAGCACUGGUCUGCCAACUUCCCCUGCCCUCCCCCAAACUGCAUGAUCCUAUAAGUAUUUCUGGAGCAAGAGCAACCAGGCAUUUAAUGACGUAAGUCAUGUCUCUUGACUUGAAAGAUUAAUGGGUCAGGCAUGUUAUGUACCCUUGAUAAAAGAGAUUUGUGUUCUGCCCUUCAGGGUCUAAAUUCCCAACAAAAUCCAGCUGGGUAGUAUCAAUUCAGACAUCUCAAUAAAAGGAUAAAUGAAACCAUGCAAAUAAUACAGACCUAUACUAUGCCUGAAAAAAUAUGUAUAUUUUUUGCAUUGUCUAAAAGCUGCAAUCUUAGUGGCAGCAAAUGUGUUUUUAUUUUUAACACUAUGAGCUAAGUAAGGAAAAGGAUAGUAAGAAUUCUGGCUGAUCAAAUUAGCAUACAUGCCUGUGUAUUUUAAAACAUUUUUGUAUGUGAAAAAAAAAUCUGUGUAUUUAUUUUUUAAAAAAUUCAUAUUGAAAUGGAUUAAUGUUACAAAAUCUGGAAUUUCUAACAUUCUGCUAUUAUUCCUAAUUUCAUAUAUCACAUCAAAAGUCCCUGAAUUUCAGUUGUUCAAAGGCAUAGCACUACUCUGUCACUAAUCUAACUUCUAAGCAAUUGCCAAAUAUCAUCAGUGCCUUAAUCUGCAAUCACAUUUUUUUGAGCUUUCAAGCUAAGAUAACAAAACAAAUGCUGAUGUUGACAUCUACUAAGCAACAAGAUAUACUACAUUUUUUAAGCUUGAAAAUAUCACUGCUCUCCCACAGUGAAUGAAAGAUGUACUUUCCCAGUAUUGUCAAUAAUUUCUAGUGAUAUGAUCAUGCCCCCCGAUCCUUUGGAACCCCACAGUCUGAUAACAGGUUAAGAUAAGAAUUAAAAUGCUAUCCAUGGCCACAACUGAGUGACACCCACACUCAGUAUGGGGGGCAAGACUCUUUAACAUUGGUCUUAUUUUCCAUUAUGUUCUAACCACCUAAGAUCACUAAUUAUAAGCAAUUCAAACAAAAUCAGCAAUUUUGCUACAAAAUGAUUCAUUUUAAAAUCACUUAUUUACCCAUCAGUUUUUAAGCCUUCAUAGACUAAGAAUGGUUAAAACAGAAUAAGGAGUUACAGAAAUAGCACAUGCAUCAUGUUGGGCUGUGGCUAUAACACUAAAUAGUCUUGUAUGCUCAGUAAAUAUUGGAUGGGUGCAACCAUCCAUGACUUAGGGGAAAACUGGGUGAGGCCUGACCCCAGAGUGUGUUCUCCAAAAUUUAAUGUGCUUCAGAAACAGGAGUGCAACUGGGUAAAAAUAGAAAUGCUCAUACCUACUAAAUAAAAAUUCUAGAUAUAUGGAAUGCCAAACAAUAAACAUAUAGGUACAGUCAUGUUAUCCUUUAUCUAAAAAGCUGAUUUUUAAUAGCUUCCCUAUUAGGCUACUUACUUCCUCAAAAGUGUAUCAAUAGUUACUGUGUUUAAAAGGUAGGAAUUUUACAUUUUUUUAAUGUUAAUCUUUGAGAGAGAGAGAGAGAGACAGAGCAUGAGUAGGGGACAGGCAGAGAGAUAGAGAGAGACACAGAAUCUGAAGCAGGCUUCAGGCUCCGCUGUCAGCACAGAGCCUAUGCGUGGCUCAAACCUAUAAACUGUGAGAUCAUGACCUGAGCUGAAAUCAGAUACCCAACUGACUGAGCCACCCAGGCACCCCUAAAACAUAAGAAUUUUAAAGUUUAUUCCUAAGUCAAACCCUGACACUGGUCUGCCAUAAGUCCGUGCUUUCCAGAGCUCAUCAAACACUUGUUUGGUGUUAAGGCUUGUUGAGAGCUAUUUGUUCUAGAGACCCUUACACCGUAUGUCAAAUGUCCUCAUAAAGUAGUAGACCACGACAGACCUGACAGGGUCCCUGCAUCCUCCCACUGUUUCCCAGAGACCAGCGGGACUUUCCUACAGUGAGUGACAAGGCAUUCCUUCAUGAGCUUCCCUCUCAUCAGACCACAGGGGCAAAAAAAAAAAAGAAAAGAAAAAAAUCAAGGCAUCAUGGUAAUAUAGAUUACUAUACUAGUUAAAAGGUCUGAGUAUUCUGGUCUCUCCAUGGCCAAGAGCUAUCAGUAGUUAAGUAAAUUAACCUGAAAUUUGGCUUUCUUGUCUAUAAAAUUAAAGGAGUAAACUAUAGUUGAUCCUUGAACAAUGCAGGGGUUGGGGUGCUGACAUCCCCUUCCCUACUGUAAAAAUCCAACCCUUUUGACCCCCCCGCAAAACUUUAAUAGCCUACUAUUGACCAGAAGACUUAAUGAUAACAAUUAACACAUUUUAUAUAUUGUGUACUGUAUUCUUACAAUAAACUAAGCUAGAGGAAGAAAAUGUUAAGAAGAUCAUAAAACACAUUUACAGUUUUGUACCAUAAAAUAAUCAUGUACAAGUGGACCCAUGAACUUCAAACCAUAUUGUUUAAGGGUCAACUGUACACUUUCGGGAUUUCUUUCACCUUGAUGAUUUGACUUCAAUGAGUACAACUGUUGAUGUGAUGUGCCAAUAGCCAAACUACAGAGUCAUUUUCUUCUGAUCAAAAUCAGGGAUUUUAGAAACCAGAGAAACUAAUAAAUGCUUUUGCUCAUUAGGAAAUAAAAAGUUUGGAGAUUUCUAGAUCUAACCACUUGGAACCACAGAACUAUCACCACAGCAGCCAUCACCUGCUUGGCCAGCAUGCACUUCUUAUGGUCCCUCUCCUACAUUUGAUCCAGGCUAGGUCAGAGCCCUGAGGCAGAGGCAUUGUGUCCCUUGCCUGGUUCUUUCAUUUUUUUAUUUCUUUUUUUUUUAAUGUUUAUUUAUUUUUGAGAGAGAGAGAAACAGAGAGACAGAGUGCGAGGGGGGGAGAUGGAGAGAGAGAGGGAGACAAAGAAUUUGAAGCAGGCUCCAGGCUCAGAGUUGUCAGCACAGAGCUUGCACAGGGCUUGAACUCAUGAACUGCAAGAUCAUGGCCUGAGCCAAAGUCUGACACUCAACUGACUGAGCUAUGCAGGUGCCCCUCCCCUUGCCUGGUUCUGCUCUUGAUCUUGAGCUCUGACAGCUAUGGAACCUUAGGCAAGUUACUUGCCCUUGUCUUCAAGCCUGUUUCUUCAUCUGCCAACUGGGGAUGACAAUAAAAGCACCAACACUUGUUGGGUUAUGAGAAUUAACUGUGAUAAGCCCUAUAUGGCACAUUGUUUGGUGCCUGGCACAGAGUAAGCACUCUGUAAAUGGCAGCAAUUAUUUUUGAUGACAGCCGCAUGGUUAUAGCAUCCAUAGAACUCAGCAUGUGACUGAAGAAAGUCCAAAAAAAAAAAAAAAAGUCCAUGAAGUCACAUGGUUGUCACAGCCCCUGGUCCUCUCUUCUUCUGGACUUACUCUUACUAAUGCAGCCUCACUUGUUGACUUGAAGGAAUGAAUGAACGUGCUGACUCUCUAUAUCUCUUUCCAGAAACUCCAGAUCACACAGCUCUGACGAUGGGAUAAUAAUUUAAGGAAGCAGGUGGCAUGAUCGAUGAAUUAAAGGUAUCUCUUUCACAAAAAAGAAACUGGUAAUAGUGGUUGCCCUCCCAGGAGGUGGCAUCAAAUCAGGGACAGGAGACUGACUUUUCACCAUAUGCCAUUGUAGCUCUUGAAAUUUGAACCUCAAAUAUGUGUUACCUACAUUAAAAAAUGUUCUUUAACGUGCUAAUUUUUGAAAAGUAAAAAGUCAAUUUGUAACUUAGAAGAGCAUAUGCCUUCCCCUCAUGAGAGUUGGGAAGCUGAACGUCCAGCCUCACAUGCCCUUCAGAGUAUCUGAGUGCCCGUGGUUGCUACCCUGCCCAUGCACCCCCACAACUGGGAGGUGAUGGGCAGACCCCAUGGGAGGUGGGACAAAGAGAAG
rnacentral:lncRNA from 1 species